rnacentral:rRNA from 1 species
UGGCGGACGGGUGAGUAACACGUGAGCAACCUGCCUUUCAGAGGGGGAUAACGUUUGGAAACGAACGCUAAUACCGCAUAAAAUAUCGGAGUCGCAUGGCACUGAUAUCCAAGGAGCAAUCCGCUGAAAGAUGGGCUCGCGUCCGAUUAGGCAGUUGGCGGGGUAACGGCCCACCAAACCGACAAUCGGUAGCCGGACUGAGAGGUUGAACGGCCACAUUGGGACUGAGACACGGCCCAGACUCCUACGGGAGGCAGCAG